GAUGAAGAACGCAGCGAAAUGCGGUAAGUAAUGUGAAUUGCAGAAUUCAGUGAAUCAUCGAAUCUUUGAACGCACAUUGCGCCCGCCAGUAUUCAGGCGGGCAUGCCUGUUCGAGCGUCAUUUCAACCAUCAAGCCCCCGGCUUGUGUUGGGGACCUGCGGCUGCCGCAGGCCCUGAAAACCAGUGGCGGGCUCGCUGUCACACCGAGCGUAGUAGAUUUUCAUCUCGCUCAGGGCGUGCUGCGGGUUCCGGCCGUAAAAAGCCUUAUUUACCCAAGGUUGACCUCGGAUCAGGUAGGAAGACCCGCUGAACUUAAGCAUAUCAAUAAGCGGAGGA
rnacentral:misc_RNA from 1 species